CCACAGACAAGUGCGCACACCAUCGUUGAACCUUGAGUGUGACGCGAUCGGGAGGGAGAGGCGGUCGUGUUGGGGGCGGCGUGACACAGCUCGGGCCCGCCAGUGCCCCAACGGGGCCCUAGUUAGGGCCCGAGCGUAGCUGCUAAGCAGCUGCGAGAGCCCUCUUGUUCCUGCAUGUUUCCUUCUUUUGUUAUUAGGGCCCGAGCGUAGCUGCUAAGCAGCUGCGAGAGCCCUCUUGUUCCUGUAGUUUCCUUCUUUUGUUAUUAUUAUUA